CGCACAUUGCGCCCCUUGGUAUUCUGGGGGGCACGCCUGUUCGAGCGUCAUUUAAAACGUCAAGCACCGCUUGGUAUUGGGCGCGGUCGACCCGACCCGUCCGCAACCCGUUGGCGGUACCGUCCAGCUUCGAGCGUAGCAAGUCUUACCCUCGCUCGGGAGCCCAGACCGGUGCCUGCCACUCGAAUCAGUACCCAAAGUUUGACCUCGGAUCAGGUAGGGUUACCCGCUGAACUUAA
rnacentral:misc_RNA from 1 species